UUUCCUUUUUUGCUGGAGCAGGGUGGCCAUAUUACGCAUUUUUGAUUGGUGCAUCUGGCCAAUUAGGUUGGCAGAUAUUGACAGUUGACCUAUCCAGUCGUGCUGAUUGCAAUAGAAAAUUUGUCUCCAAUAAGUGGUUUGGUGCACUUGUCUUCACUGGGAUUCUAUUGGGACGCCUCUUCCCUUAAUGUACUGAGCCUGUUGCAAGGACGUUAAUCAAGAUAAACAGAAGGAUUGGUUGAUUGAAUUUUUCUCUUGGGUUAAAAAGAGGAUGUCAACUUGAAUUAUUCGAGGUCUACAUUUAUUUCUAGUCCAAAUUAUGUCGUCAUUAUUGUGAAUUCUUCACAUGAUUUUGAGUCUUUGACAUGUUUGAAUAUUAGAAGUUAGAACUUAAUGAAGGUGUAUUGUGGGUUUCCGGAGUUUUGCUAAACAAUGAGAAAAGAAAGUGAUUUGCAUGAAUCAAACUUGUGGUUAGGUUCCUAAAAACCACAGGCGUAAUAUGUAAGAAAUAUCCAGAGGCUGUUAUGGCAUUGACUCUUGAUUGGUAGUUUGAAAAUUAAAAAUCAGAUGAUGGAGAAACAGAAGAUGAAAAGAAGGGCCAUGUGACCAUAUUAAUUAACAGCUAUUCUAGUCUGAUAAGAAGAAUAUAGCUGUUCACAUUAAACGCACUAACUUACCAAAGGUUCUGUUUUGAGAAUUGAGGCAAAUGUUGAAGAAA